rnacentral:rRNA from 1 species
UACGGAGGAUGCAAGCGUUAUCCGGAAUGAUUGGGCGUAAAGCGUCCGCAGGUGGCUGUGUAAGUCUGCUGUUAAAGAGUCUAGCUCAACUAGAUAAGAGCAGUGGAAACUACACGGCUAGAGUACGCUCGGGGCAGAGGGAAUUCCUGGUGUAGCGGUGAAAUGCGUAGAGAUCAGGAAGAACACCGGUGGCGAAGGCGCUCUGCUAGGCCGUAACUGACACUGAGGGACGAAAGCUAGGGGAGCGAAUGGG